AACGAACGUUAGCGGCGCGCCUAACACAUGCAAGUCGAACGCGAGAGGGGCAACUCUCUUGAGUGGCGCACGGGUGAGUAACACGUAGGUAAUCUCCCCCCGAGUGGUGGAUAACCUUCCGAAAGGAGGGCUAAUACAGCAUAAGACCACGGCUUCGAAAGGAGCUGAGGUCAAAGCGGAGGAUCGCAAGACUUCGCGCUUGGGGAUGAGCCUGCGGCCCAUCAGGUAGUUGGCGGGGUAAAAGCCCACCAAGCCUAAGACGGGCAGCUGGUCAGAGAGGAUGAUCAGCGACACUGGAACGGAGACACGGUCCAGACUCCUACGGGAGGCAGCAGUGGGGAAUCUUGCGCAAUGGACGAAAGUCUGACGCAGCGACGCCGCGUGGGUGAUGAAGGCCUUCGGGUUGUAAAGCCCUGUGGGGAGGGACGAAUAAGUGUCGGUUAAUACCCGGCGCGAUGACGGUACCUCCUUAGCAAGCACCGGCUAACUCUGUGCCAGCAGCCGCAGUAA
rnacentral:rRNA from 1 species